AUUGAACGCUGGCGGCAGGCCUAACACAUGCAAGUCGGACGGUAGCACAGAGGAGCUUGCUCUUCGGGUGACGAGUGGCGGACGGGUGAGUAAUGUCUGGGGAUCUGCCCGAUAGAGGGGGAUAACCACUGGAAACGGUGGCUAAUACCGCAUAACGUCGCAAGACCAAAGAGGGGGACCUUCGGGCCUCUCACUAUCGGAUGAACCCAGAUGGGAUUAGCUAGUAGGCGGGGUAACGGCCCACCUAGGCGACGAUCCCUAGCUGGUCUGAGAGGAUGACCAGCCACACUGGAACGGAGACACGGUCCAGACUCCUACGGGAGGCAGCAGUGGGGAAUAUUGCACAAUGGGCGCAAGCCUGAUGCAGCCAUGCCGCGUGUAUGAAGAAGGCCUUCGGGUUGUAAAGUACUUUCAGCGGGGAGGAAGGCGAUGUGGUUAAUAACCGCGUCGAUUGACGUUACCCGCAGAAGAAGCACCGGCUAACUCCGUGCCAGCCGCCGCGAUAA
rnacentral:rRNA from 1 species